AAUUAAUUGUAAAGUGGUUAAGGUGCAUGCCUACUAGCGUGUUCCUGAGAGCUGAUGGAGUGGAUCAAAGAUAUAAAAGGAUCACAGAAAGGUGUUCGGUUUAGCAGAGAAACUACUAUCAAUGUUAAGACCCUCUCGGAUUAGAGACUAAGGAAAGGUGUUGGUAGGACUCCAAGUAGGAAGACAAUAGGGUGGAUGAAAUGGAUCGUGGAGCCUUACAGGAACAGUAAAACCCCUGUGGAAUAUCAAAUCUGACUAUACCAAUUGCUAACAUGUGAUUGAUGGAUAGGCGAUCUGUUCUUGCAAACCGGGAUACGAGGUGGCAGCUGUUGAGAAUGGUGGGGACACUUGUGUGGACACAGAAACUAUACGAGAUGGCAGUUACUGCAUCCUCAGGCCCUGCCCAGAGGGAUAUGAAUGCCGAGAUAUGGAACACUAUCAGUUUGAUUGCAUCAGAGGAGCCCUUAUUGUGCCAAACUGAAUGCAGUUUUCCAUUGUUCCAAACUGGAUUCUGCAUAUUCACAGUACGUUCUUGUAAAAUUACUAUUAAAAAUUGGAGCUGACUGUAAAACCUUGAUUGGAAAAAAGAUGAAAUUCUCACAAGUUUUCCCCCAACCCCAUUUUCUUAUUAGUUCUAUUAAACGUGUACUCUGUGCAAACAUAACUGGCAUGUUACAAACAUGAGUGUCAUCCUUCCCUUGUGAGUAAAGUUACACGCAUGCUUAAGUAUUUGUGGAAUCAGGACCACAGAGUAUAAUCCUAUACAUCAUGUCAAUCUGAUUCACAUGACUUACACAACUUAGACUGAUAAGAACAGGCCUCGUGGAGCAAAAUCCUGCAGCUUUCCCAUUUACUUCAGUAGGAAUUUUGCCUGAGUAAGAUGCCAGAAUUUUGUCUCUCCGAACAAGUCUGCAUUCUUUACUCAGAGAGCUUACGGAAAGAGAGGAUAGAUUCCCUGUCACACUGUAAAUCAGGAAUAAUUCAAUUGAACUCAAUACCAGUGAGAGUGAGAUCAGAAAACUGACACCUGACAAUGACAAAUUUACCAUGUAGAGUUAUGUUUGGGGGGGCCUGAUUAUGUAGUCCUUACUCAAGUAUGGCUACUGCUUGAAUGGCAGUCUUGCCUGAGUGAAAAUGGUAGAAUCAGUCCUAUGAUAUUUGUAUAUAUUGUACUGUCUUUUCAUCAUAGCAUAACUAUUAUAAAAAAAUUCAAUAAGCUUAUAAGAAGCAAAUAUUAUCUGUGACACACAAAAAUAAACAACAAAUUUGUUUUUACUAAUUUUGGGCC
ensembl:lncRNA